rnacentral:lncRNA from 1 species
GUUUUCCUGGGAUUUUCUGGGAAUUUUUUGGGAUCGUUUCGGGUUUUCCUGGGGAUUUUUUUGGGGUUUUUUUGGGAUUUUCCGGGGUUUUCCUCACAUUAUUUCGGGGGUUUUUUUGGGAUCAUUCCCAGUUUUCCUGGGAUUCUCUGGGAAUUUUUUGGGAUCGUUUCAGGUUUUCCUGGGAUUUUUUUGGGAUUUUCCUGGGAUUCUCCAGGGAUUUUUUUGGGGGAUUUUUUGGGAUUUUUCUCAGACUCUUUCAGGGGUUUUUUCUGGGGAUAAUUCCCAGAUUUUCUGGGAAUUUUUAGGGAUCGUUUUGGGUUUUCCUGGGAUUUCCUGAGGUUUUUUUGGGGUUUUCCUGGGAUUUUCUAGGGAUUUUUUUGGGGGAUUUUCUGGGGUUUUCCUCAGAUUCUUUUGGGGUUUUUUUUGGGAUCAUUCCCAGUUUUCCUGGGAUUCUCUGGGGUUUCUUUUUUUUUUGGGAUAAUUUUGAGUUUUCCUGGGUUUUCCUGGGAUUUUUUUGGGAUUUUCCUGGAAUUCUCCAGGGAUUUUUUUGGGAAUUUUCUGGGGUUUUUCUCAGAUUCUUUUGGGUUUUUUUGGGAUCAUUCCCAGUUUUCCUGGGAUUCUCUGAGGUUUCUUUUUUUUGGGGAUAAUUUCGGGUUUUCCUGGGAUUUUUUUGGGUUUUCCUGGGAUUCUCCAGGGAUUUUUUUGGGGGAUUUUUUGGGAUUUUUCUCAGAUUCUUUCAGGGUUUUUUUUUGGGAUCAUUCCCAGAUUUUCUGGGAAUUUUUAGGGAUCGUUCUGGGUUUUCCUGGGAUUUCCUGAGGUUUUUCUUUUUGGGAUUUCCUGGAAUUUUCUGGGGUUUUCCUCAGAUUCUUUUGGGGGUUUUUUGGGAUCAUUCCCAGUUUUCCUGGGAUUCUCUGGGGUUUCUUUUUUUUGGGGAUCAUUUCAGGUUUUCCUGGGAUUUUCUGGGAUCGUUCUGGGUUUUCCUGGGGAUUUUUUUCGGGUUUUUUUGGGAUUUUUCCGGGGUUUUCCUGAGAUUCUUUUGGGGGUUUUUUUUGGGAUCAUUCCCAGUUUUCCUGGGAUUUUCUGGGAUUUUUCUGGGAUCUUUUCGGGUUUUCCUGGGGUUUUUGUGGGAUUUU